rnacentral:rRNA from 1 species
GAGUUUGAUCAUGGCUCAGGACGAACGCUGGCGGCGUGCCUAACACAUGCAAGUCGAGCGAUGAAGCCCUUCGAGGUUGAUUAGCGGCGGACGGGUGAGAAAAAAAAAGGUAACCUGCCUCAUAGAGGGGGAUAGCCUCCCGAAAGGGAGAUUAAUACCGCAUAACAUAUUUUGGUCGCAAAAUUGAAAUAUCAAAGGAGUAAUCCGCUAUGAGAUGGAUCCGCGGCGCAUUAGCUAGUUGGUGAGGUAACGGCUCACCAAGGCGACGAUGCGUAGCCGACCUGAGAGGGUGAUCGGCCACAUUGGAACUGGGACACGGUCCAGACUCCUACGGGAGGCAGCAGUGGGGAAUAUUGCGCAAUGGGGGAAACCCUGACGCAGCAACGCCGCGUGAAUGAUGAAG